GAGCAAUGAUGAACCUGAUGUGUACUAACAGUUGAACACAAGGAGGUUUCUACCCUUGACCCAAGCUCA